UGGGGAAUAUUGCACAAUGGGCGCAAGCCUGAUGCAGCCAUGCCGCGUGUAUGAAGAAGGCCUUCGGGUUGUAAAGUACUUUCAGCGGGGAGGAAGGGAGUAAAGUUAAUACCUUUGCUCAUUGACGUUACCCGCAGAAGAAGCACCGGCUAACUCCGUGCCAGCAGCCGCGGUAAUACGGAGGGUGCAAGCGUUAAUCGGAAUUACUGGGCGUAAAGCGCACGCAGGCGGUUUGUUAAGUCAGAUGUGAAAUCCCCGGGCCCAACCUGGGAACUGCAUCUGAUACUGGCAAGCUUGAGUCUCGUAGAGGGGGGUAGAAUUCCAGGUGUAGCGGUGAAAUGCGUAGAGAUCUGGAGGAAUACCGGUGGCGAAGGCGGCCCCCUGGACGAAGACUGACGCUCAGGUGCGAAAGCGUGGGGAGCAAACAGG
rnacentral:rRNA from 1 species